CCCCCACUAGUAAAGAAAAAAUUAGGAUGCCAGCAUCUCCAGCCAUCCAAAUCAUUAUUGAUCUAAAGAAAUCCUCAAAAGAAGCAAAAGGACAAAGACGUGAACCUUAACUUCCUUUUUUAGGAAGGCUGCCAGUUUCAGCUCACUGUACAACAGUUGUUUGACUACCCUACCAUCACCCAUUCUACUUCACAUCCUAUCCAGUGCAGCUGUGUUGAGGAAGGAGAAUCAAUUUUUAGACGGAGCCCCCUCUGCCCACACCAAGGGACAGGGAACUAUGUCCAACUGUCACCUGGGCACUUCUUUCCCAGCACCUGGUUCAGUGCUCUGCAAACAGAGUGACAUAUGAAAUGAAGCUUUUUAUACUGUUCAUUAACUGCAUAACCCUAAAAAAGUGGAAUUUAUGAACAUAUGCUUAAUCUGCAUUUUGACUCAAAAUCAUGGUAUGUAUAUUUGAUAGUUCCUCUUUUCUUGUGUGCAAAUUCAGUUUGAAACAAAUGUUCCAUUCCCCAGUACAGGAGACAGAAUGAGAACUUUCUUUAAUCACAGGUAUGCAAAUAUAACUUUUGUGAAG